rnacentral:lncRNA from 1 species
UUGUGAUUCCAAAUUCAUUACAUAAAUUUACACUCCAAAUUCAUUAAAUCACAAUUCACAUUUGAUAUAAAUAUACAAAUUCACAAUUCACAUUACUAAAAAUCCCAGCACAAAUGAAAAAACAUGGCCUCCUUAUUUAGAACCAUCAAAAUGAACACCAUAUUUGAUUUUUUUUUCCUAGGCCAUUACUAUAGAAAGUUGAAAAGAAUUCCGUCAAUUUUCCUCAGCUUCAUCUUCAU